rnacentral:rRNA from 1 species
UUGAUCCUGCCGGACCCGACUGCUAUCAGAAUAGGACUAAGCCAUGCGAGUCAACGUAGCAAUACGUGGCAUACGGCCCAGUAACACGUAGUCAACAUGCCCAGGGGACGUGGAUAACCUCGGGAAACUGAGGAUAAACCGCGAUAGGUCAUAAUAUCUGGAAUGAUUUCUGGCUAAAAUCUAUAUGGCCCCUGGAUUGGACUGCGGCCGAUCAGGCUGUUGGUGAGGUAAUGACCCACCAAACCUAAAACCGGUACGGGCUCUGAGAGGAGAAGCCCGGAGAUGGGCACUGAGACAAGGGCCCAGGCCCUAUGGGGCGCAGCAGGCGCGAAAACUCUGCAAUAAGCGAAAGCUUGACAGGGUUAUUCUGAGUGAUUUCCGCUAAGGAAAUCUUUUGGCACCUCUAAAAAUGGUGCAGAAUAAGGGGUGGGCAAGCCUGGUGUCAGCCGCCGCGGUAAUACCAGCACCCCGAGUGGUCGGGACGAUUAUUGGGCCUAAAGCAUCCGUAGCCGGUUCUACAAGUCUUCCGUUAAAUCCACCUGCUUAACAGAUGGGCUGCGGAGGAUACUAUGGAGCUAGGAGGCGGGAGAGGCAAGCGGUACUUAGUGGGUAGGGGUAAAAUCCGUUGAUCCAUUGAAGACCACCAGUGGCGAAGGCGGCUUGCCAGAACGCACUCGACGGUGAGGGAUGAAAGCUGGGGGAGCAAACCGGAUUAGAUACC